rnacentral:tRNA from 2 species
GCCCAGGUGGCGGAAUUGGUAGACGCACAUGGUUCAGGUCCAUGCGCCAGUAAUGGUGUGAAGGUUCGAGUCCUUUCCUGGGCACCA